rnacentral:ncRNA from 3 species
GUAUCAUUUUGAAUUAUGAUUUUUCAAUUCCUUUUAUCCCGGGCAAGAAAAAAAGUCAAAGCCAAGAGAUGCCUGACUUUGACUUUCUAAU